rnacentral:rRNA from 1 species
UACGAAGGGGGCUAGCGUUGUUCGGAAUUACUGGGCGUAAAGCGCGCGCAGGCGGUCUUCCAAGUCAGUGGUGAAAGCCCGAAGCUCAACUCCGGAACUGCCAUUGAAACUGUUAGACUUGAGGACGAGAGAGGUGAGUGGAAUUCCCAGUGUAGAGGUGAAAUUCGUAGAUAUUGGGAAGAACACCGGUGGCGAAGGCGGCUCACUGGCUCGUAUCUGACGCUCAGGCGCGACAGCGUGGGGAUCAAACAGG